GCGGACGUGGCGGAACUGGCAGACGCGCCGGAUUUAGGUUCCGGUACCGCAAGGUAUGGAGGUUCAAGUCCUCUCGUCCGCA
rnacentral:tRNA from 1 species